AUUGAACGCUGGCGGCAUGCUUUACACAUGCAAGUCGAACGGCAGCGCGGGCUUCGGCCUGGCGGCGAGUGGCGAACGGGUGAGUAAUGCAUUGGAACGUGCCCAGUAGUGGGGGAUAGCCCGGCGAAAGCCGGAUUAAUACCGCAUACGACCUGAGGGUGAAAGCGGGGGACCGAAAGGCCUCGCGCUAUUGGAGCGGCCGAUGUCGGAUUAGCUAGUUGGUGGGGUAAAGGCUUACCAAGGCGACGAUCCGUAGCUGGUCUGAGAGGACGACCAGCCACACUGGGACUGAGACACGGCCCAGACUCCUACGGGAGGCAGCAGUGGGGAAUUUUGGCCAAUGGGGGCAACCCUGAUCCAGCCAUGCCGCGUGCGGGAAGAAGGCCUUCGGGUUGUAAACCGCUUUUGUUCGGGAAGAAAUCCUCUGGGCUAAUACCCCGGGGGGAUGACGGUACCGGAAGAAUAAGCACCGGCUAACUACGUG
rnacentral:rRNA from 1 species